AUAUUGUGCUGCCCCUUCUGUUAUGCAUGGCUUAGCCUGACUGUGGCAGUAGUGCAAAAGGCAAAGUUGAUCCAUAAUGUCAAGUAGUAGACAUCAACAAACGACACAAAAGCUGAACAUCGGCCGUUUGUUUACACACAAGGUAUUCCCAUGAGUUUCUCAACAUCUUGGUUUGAUUUGCAUCCUGAUUGCAGGCCUUAAUUUGUAUGGUGGACAAGAAGACGGGAGAGAAAAGUAAAACACGUCCGCGCUUCGUGAAGCAGGACCAGGUUUGUAUCGCCAGGUUCCGGGCGGCGGGAGUCAUCUGCAUGGAGACUUUCAAGGACUUUCCUCAAAUGGGGCGAUUCACGCUACGUGAUGAAGGCAAAACCAUCGCCAUCGGAAAAGUGCUGAAGCUGGUGCCGGAAAAGGACUAAAUGCAAGCGAGAUCCAAGUUGUGUAAUGCUGCUUGUCACCAGAAGAGGACUGCUGCUCGGGCCAACCACAACAGCAACUCUUUUCUUUAUGCUAUACUAUGCUAAAGAGAAGAACUUCCAACAACGGAGCGAAGAGGGGAAUUAAUUGCGUCAAAUGAAAAUAACAAGACUGGAUCAGUUUUUAUGAUGAACAAUCGACAGUGAGAGAGUGUGAGUGUCCAGCGUUCUCAUAUUGAGAGCUCUGCAAUAACACUAAUGUAGCGACAGUACAUGGCUGAAAACGCUGCCGGCUGGCCAUACCAAUCGUUUUUACUAUGGAGGUGGAUGCAGUGUUACUGAGUCUGGAGAGAACAAA